rnacentral:misc_RNA from 1 species
GUGAAUCAUCGAAUUUUUGAACGCAAAUUGCACUCUCCUCGGAGAGUAUGCCUGUUUGAGGGUCAGCCUAUAAAAAAUCGACAUCGUUGCUGUUUCGCGGUGGCGUUCGUCGGAAAUUGGGUCACCUUAAAUCUUUGGGUUUUAGGCGACUUAAAAUUUUCCUUUGGGUUCCAUGAAGGUUUCUAAGAUUUAUUUCUUUACACGUUUAAGGAUUCGAUUUUUAUUAGACG